AAGUAACUGUCAGAAUACCUUUUAUUAUUCACUAAAGCUUUAUUUUCGCUUUUUGAAACCGAAGCAGACUUGGAAAUCGGGGAUGAUAGAGUUUGUUCAUGUGUGCUUUGUGUAUAAUCCUUUUGGGACGAGUAAGGCUUUACAAUUAUCCUUUGGCAAUAAUUAGAUUCAUCGGAAUCAGAUACAGGUGGUAAGCGUUUUUUCAUGUACUUAUAAUGUUGCCGCCAGGAUUCAAGAGAAUGUUGAGGAUACUAGGAAACCGUAGCCGCCAAUAUAGAAAGCGGAAA